rnacentral:lncRNA from 1 species
CCGGCAGCAAGUAGUACUUGGUAUGGGUGGAAAUUUAGGCAGCUUACUGAACCAAUUUUCUGGGCCAUUAGGGUAGGAUAGUAACGAAUGGUGCCCAGUUGAUCACCCUCCAGGUUAAAAACUUUAAUGAGUUGUUUGGCAGAACCGCUGGCAAUAAUUGGAGCGUGUCUAUGUACUGCUAAAGCUGUAAGGGAACCCCUGUGAGCUGAAAUAGUGAGAUAGGCGCUGCUGUGAUUUCUUAUAUCAAGGAAUUGGAUAUCCCCAGCCUGAGAAGCACUAACAAUCUGAAGGAAAGCAACAAAUGUGAUAAUCUAAUCAUCCAUUUCAAACCAAAUUCAUAGACCAUAAUCACCAAACUCCUACCAAGGUAUAGAGUACAAACAUUGUAUGCAAGGGAUAUUAAAAAAAUGUAUGAAACUAGCAACAUGCUCUUUUUACCUUUCCUGGGUCCAACCCAGGUUGAAAGCCAAUCCCCACAACUUUUUCUACUCCUUGUGUGUGUGGCUGUAAUCCACAGACGAGCCUAAGAAGCAUCAUUGUCAUUAGUCAUUAUGAGAUUCGAAGUAAAGAGGUAGAGGCUUCUAAAUGAACUCUUAAAAAGAGUAAGAUUUAGGUACAAGCAGGUAAACAUGUCAAAAGAAUAAUAUCAUAUAACUGAGAAUAAGGACACUGCUCAAAUCGAUCUGAUCAGUUAAGAAGAACUAACAACAAGUUUCUACUUUUUAUAUUUCGUCAUGAUGGCAGAAAUUCAUCUGAGGUGCUUACAUUUCAGGUGUUCUGACAUCAUAGAGUCUGACGAAACCAUCUACAAACCCAGCUGCAAAUUGUCCCCCAUGAACUUGAGAUGCGGCCUGAAACAAAGAUAUAUAGUGCAUAAAAAGGGAAAAAUUGUUCAUAAAUAAUUUCUAUAUAGAAGCAUGAUCUGGUUACAGAUGGAAUAAAAUAAUACUAGAAUCACAUCCCAUCAUAACUGUACUACAACAAUGUACAAGAGCAGUCAACUCAGAUCUUCCUUUGCAACUUCUAAAAACUUAUACUGGAAAUUGGAAAAGACAAAAUAAACUAUUUGAGAACAUAUCGCAACGAGCUCCAAGUUUCUUAGUUGCUCAAAGAAAAUCAUAUAAACCAUAUCAUCGAAUCUUCAAUCAUGCCAACAUAUUUAAAGAGAGGCUGAUAAGAAUUGAAAUUUCCAGAACGUAAACAGAAGAUCCACAAAGUGUUUUUAGGUCUUGAGUUAAACACAAACAGGUGAUUUGAAGAAGUCAUGAAGGGGGGGGAGGGGAUGUUUCUAAGUAACAGCAGAUAUUGGUCCUUAUUACAGAGAAAAUAAAUAAAUAUAUAAACAGGUUACAAGACAUGAACUCAACAGUUAAGAGCUCUAAAUUAAAUGUAAUGGGCUUGCCACACUGAAUAAAAAUAUUAGCCCCAAAUUUCUUCAGAAUACAACAUAGUACAUGUCUUUUCAAGGAUAAACUCUAUUAAGCUAUCACGUCAACAUAAUUUGAGCAAAUAUAAUAAUUUCCAUUGCUAACUACCAUCAUACAUAGAUGAAGCUUACCAAUGCAGACACACUGCAAUCUGAUGCUGAAGGUAUAGCAUUAAGAAGUUGCUCUUUAUCAAGAUCCCAUAGCAUAAUAGAUGAUAUCUCACCCGAUGCAUACUGGUACAUGCAUAAAUGCAACAUGGAACAACAUAAAAAAUCACUAACAUCACUUUAAGGGAAGAAUAAAGAAUUGGAGUUCAUGUUUUAGGGAUUUGGUAUAAGAAAAUAUCCCACAUUCCUAAGAAUAAUCAAAGAGGAAUUGUAUACCAGAUAACCACAUUGCUGUUGCCAAUCAACAACUGCAUUCAAACUCCUCACACCAGGUUUAUGACCAUGAAUUGAAGAGAAUGCAGAUACAAGCUUCUGUUUACCCUUUAGAGUAUAAUCUUUCCAAAUUCGAAUAUUUCCAUCAGCUGCAUCAUAAGAUUACCUGAUAUUUAGUACUGCAACAAUAAUUUGUGAAUAGAAUGCAUAGUAUUAAACAGAAGAUAACAUUACAUGAAGCAGCAAGAAGCAAGCUAUCAUCAAGCUCAUUCACUAGGCAGAGUUUAGAAAUUCCUUUGUCAGGAAAAUCAUUGUUAUCAAAGCUGUUGAGAAGUGAUGCUUCUUCAUGGUUCCAUACCCUGUGGAAAACUCCCAAUAACAUUAGACAAGCCAAAAUGAUGCAAUACAAGGACUAACAACAAUGAGAUUCUUCAAGACUAAAAAAAUAUUCUGACCAAAUUGAAACACAUCGUAAUGUCCAUAAAAAUAUCUAAAAAAUGUGGCUGUUUAGAUUCUUAAGUAGCUAUAUCUGAUAAAUGUUGCUCAAUCUUCCUGAGUCUACCAAUCCUGAAGGUGAACAAGAUCUGGAAAUUUAUUACUCUUAUCAAUUUGGAUUAGGCCUUUUAAUUAAUUGCCUUCACACUAAAGCCCCAUCAUGAUCUUCAUCUAAAGUCAUGCCCAGUUUGAUAACAGUCUGCACUUAACUAAAAAUAAUAUUGAUGAACUUCACAUACCUGAUACGUUCAUUCUCAUCAGCAGCUAUCACUAUAGGAGAGAAAGGUUGCAGCAACACUGUUUGUGUACCCUUAGUGUCCCAUUUAGCAAUAGGAUUUGUUAGUCUGGUCACAGCUGACAGCAGAAAAUGAAGUGAAGUUCCCAACUGGACAUUUAUAAAAUACUUGCUUAAUUGGAUAAGAAAAAUGAAAUACAAACCUGAGUGCUGGCAUUUUGCUAUGUGCUCCAAUGCAUAUUUUUCCCUCUCUUCUCUUCUUGCUAAUACUUCUUCACUAUCAUCUGCCGCAGUUAAAAGUGGUUUGGAAAAGUGCCCACAACUCCAAUUAUAUAUAGUUGAUUGUGGAAGAAAACUGCGAUCUGAACUCCCCGCAGCUCCAGCCGAACCUAAAAGUGGAUCAGCUAAUCCUGAGUCUGGAGAAGUCAUCAGGUGGGGCCUAAACUCCAAUGAACAUACUCUGCGCAUUCCAGUUAUAUAACUUGGGCGAGGAGGACUGACUGGAGGAGUUCUGAAGGUUAGAGGCAAGUGUCCUGCAAAAGCAGCAUACAAUAAUAAACAAAAAAAGAAAAUAACAUAGCAGCAUGAAUUAUCACAAAAUUAAAAUCUGAUGCAAAGAGAUAAACAGAUAAACCUUACCAAACUGAAUUGAAAAUUAUCCCAGGAUAUUAAUCGUCAAAUAAAAAGAGAGGGCGGCUUACCUCCAUUCAUAUCAAACCAAGAAGAUGAGCGAACAAGUCCAGCAAGGCUAGGAGUGGCUGUAGCUUCACUAAGACGAACACCAGUAGAUUUCAAUGGAUUUGCUACAACUUGUUCAAUACCUAUUAUGGAAAGUACUCGGCGGCCAAGGUUAGCAAUGCGGGGCGAUGGAUCUUUUGCUAAAGUACACAUAGCAAGUACACAUUGUGAAUAUAAUGCAUUAUCCAAGGGUUUUGGCCCAGUGUGGUUAACCACUCCAUUACUGAAACCAUCAUUCAAUAUUCCUGAAUCAGAAUGAUGAGAUGAAUCAUCAGACAUCGGGGACCCAUGCAUGAUUCCAGAACUAGCGAGAGGACUGCUAGAUGAGAUCCGCCCAUCUCGAACCACUUUAGAAUUCUCACUCCCAACCCUGAGAGGACCAAUUUGAGGUGAAACAAUAUUUCCAUGAGGCUUAUGCUGGUUCUGGUUAGAAAAACCACCAACGGAAUCUUUAAUAUUAGUCAAUGAGGGUAAGGAAUUUAUCAAAGAACUAGUCUGAGGCUUCCAAUAUGCAGCAGCAAUAGAUUUCAGGUACUUGUUGUGGCCAAAAGCAAACCUUGCUAAAGCUGAAAGUAGAAAGAAAACCUAUGUAAGAUAUCUUAGAUUCAGCCUACCAGUCCAUCCAUACCAUAAAGACAACAUAUGUUAAUCUUAAACAGAUGCACAAGCCAACCAUCUAACCAUGCAUAAGAUUUAGCAAUCAUCAUUAAAAAAAUCAGAUAAUAAAUCAAAAACACAAAUUAAAAAAACAAUAUGAUGGUUUUCAAUGCAUGUUUAACCAUUUUAUCAUUGGAUUUUUCUUUUUCAUUCGAAUUUUUAUUCCUUUUUCUAACUUCAAGUCUAUUAGCCGAUAAUAGCUUGUCUGAAGAUGAUUAAGAAUUUGUUGAGACCAUAACUAAAAACAAAGAAAAAAUAAUUAACUCGCAGUAUCAGUACUAUCCAUCUUAUCAUAAUCGUAAUAAUAUAGAACAUUUUUUCAACAACAUUCAAAUUAAAAUAUAAUUCAGAUAUUUAAUCACCUACCCACUGCAACCUCAGCCCUCACCAACGGACUCCCAUCUGAAGCAACACUCAACAGACUCUUAACUAUACUAACUUCAGCCCUAAACUUGCCAUCAUCAUCACAUUCUUCACCUCCUCCAACACUUCCACAUGAAUCAAAUCCCACAUCAAGAAGUGUGCCCAGUGCAAAAACAGCAGAUGCUCUAACCUGAGAAGCAAUAAAUUACAUGACUUGAUUAUUUAAAUAUUAAAAAAAAAUUUAAUCAUCUUGCAAUGAGAACUAGAAAAAGUAUAGUAAGUGUGGCAGUACCUCUGGCUGGGGUUCAGAAAGUAGAGGAGCAUAUAUAGAAGUAGCAUCUUCAUGCAAACCGAUUGCUUGCGCCUCUGUGUAGUCUUCCCACAAUUUCCCCAGACACAAGCACAGCCACUGAAGGAAAAGGGGUUCGGUUUGUGAAUCAUUGAGAGAUGAGCUCUGAAGGUGCUUUAAGCAGACUUGGAUCAAACCAGCUUCAAUACAAGCUUCUUGACCUCUUCUAUGACCAUCCACAAUCACAGCUAAAACAAAAGCAGCCAUUGCUCGUUGCUCUGGAUAUGCUUCCAUGCUAUCAAGAAACUUAAUAAAAUAGAUAUGACCUCCAUCUUUCACUAGAGCAACCUGACAUGACAACAACACGUAUGGAACAUCAAAAUUGAAAGACACAGUCAACAUAAAGCAUGAAGGGUUUCAACACCAAAUUGUAGCAGAAAAAUAGAAAAUGAGAUACAUAUUAGAAGACAAAAACAUGAAGCCUUGUAAUAUUCACAAUUGUUCAAUUAUCAAUUCGAAUUUAUAUUAUAUAAUUAUAUAACUAAGCACCAAUAAAAGGCAUGAUCGCAUGAACCCCCCCCCCCCCAAACUUUUACACUUUUGGAAAGUACUCGGCGGCCAAGGUUAGCAAUGCGGGGCGAUGGAUCUUUUGCUAAAGUACACAUAGCAAGUACACAUUGUGAAUAUAAUGCAUUAUCCAAGGGUUUUGGCCCAGUGUGGUUAACCACUCCAUUACUGAAACCAUCAUUCAAUAUUCCUGAAUCAGAAUGAUGAGAUGAAUCAUCAGACAUCGGGGACCCAUGCAUGAUUCCAGAACUAGCGAGAGGACUGCUAGAUGAGAUCCGCCCAUCUCGAACCACUUUAGAAUUCUCACUCCCAACCCUGAGAGGACCAAUUUGAGGUGAAACAAUAUUUCCAUGAGGCUUAUGCUGGUUCUGGUUAGAAAAACCACCAACUGAAUCUUUAAUAUUAGUCAAUGAGGGUAAGGAAUUUAUCAAAGAACUAGUCUGAGGCUUCCAAUAUGCAGCAGCAAUAGAUUUCAGGUACUUGUUGUGGCCAAAAGCAAACCUUGCUAAAGCUGAAAGUAGAAAGAAAACCUAUGUAAGAUAUCUUAGAUUCAGCCUACCAGUCCAUCCAUACCAUAAAGACAACAUAUGUUAAUCUUAAACAGAUGCACAAGCCAACCAUCUAACCAUGCAUAAGAUUUAGCAAUCAUCAUUAAAAAAAUCAGAUAAUAAAUCAAAAACACAAAUUAAAAAAACAAUAUGAUGGUUUUCAAUGCAUGUUUAACCAUUUUAUCAUUGGAUUUUUCUUUUUCAUUCGAACUUUUAUUCCUUUUUCUAACUUCAAGUCUACUAGCCGAUAAUAGCUUGUCUGAAGAUGAUUAAGAAUUUGUUGAGACCAUAACUAAAAACAAAGAAAAAAUAAUUAACUCGCAGUAUCAGUACUAUCCAUCUUAUCAUAAUCGUAAUAAUAUAGAACAUUUUUUCAACAACAUUCAAAUUAAAAUAUAAUUCAGAUAUUUAAUCACCUACCCACUGCAACCUCAGCCCUCACCAACGGACUCCCAUCUGAAGCAACACUCAACAGACUCUUAACUAUACUAACUUCAGCCCUAAACUUGUCAUCAUCAUCACAUUCUUCAUCUCCUCCAACACUUCUACAUGAAUCAAAUCCCACAUCAAGAAGUGUGCCCAGUGCAAAAACAGCAGAUGCUCUAACCUGAGAAGCAAUAAAUUACAUGACUUGAUUAUUUAAAUAUUAAAAAAAAAUUUAAUCAUCUUGCAAUGAGAACUAGAAAAAGUAUAGUAAGUGUGGCAGUACCUCUGGCUGGGGUUCAGAAAGUAGAGGAGCAUAUAUAGAAGUAGCAUCUUCAUGCAAACCGAUUGCUUGCGCCUCUGUGUAGUCUUCCCACAAUUUCCCCAGACACAAGCACAGCCACUGAAGGAAAAGGGGUUCGGUUUGUGAAUCAUUGAGAGAUGAGCUCUGAAGGUGCUUUAAGCAGACUUGGAUCAAACCAGCUUCAAUACAAGCUUCUUGACCUCUUCUAUGACCAUCCACAAUCACAGCUAAAACAAAAGCAGCCAUUGCUCGUUGCUCUGGAUAUGCUUCCAUGCUAUCAAGAAACUUAAUAAAAUAGA